UCUCGAUUCGUCUAGUGGUUAGGAUACCUGCUUGUCAAUUCUCUUCAAGACCUAUAAAUUCUUUGAUAGAGUUGAAUUCGCAGGUGGCCGGGGUUCAAUUCCCCGAUCGAGAG